CAGUAUCACCAACCAUGUUUCAUUUACAUUUUAAAAAAUAGCUAAGGUUAAGGAUAGAGUUGCAGAUAUUGGUAGAAUGUGUAAAUAAAAAGUAAAAUGUGUACUGUGUAUUGCAAAUUAAAUGUAAAAUGUCAUAAAAUCACAUAAAAGUAAUGAUAAUGAGUAAAAGUCAGUGGAAACAUGCGUUUGCUUACAGCAUGCCAAAUAUCAGAAAGAGGAUAACAGACAGGGGAGUCCCCUUACGAAUGCUGGAAAGGGCUUCAAAUGAGGUCAGACAGGGCAAAUCAGUUAGGGGAGUGGCCAAAACAUAUGGCAUUUGCCAUGUGACCCUGCACCGCUUCCACAAGAAGAGGCAGAUGUUGGAGUCCAAGGGAUCAAAGACACUUCCCAGAGUUGGGUACUGGACCUCAAAAAGGGUUUUCUCCAUAGAGCAGGAGCUGCUUCUCAAAGAUUACCUGGUGAAGGCAGCUGAUUUGUAUUAUGGUUUGAGCCCAAAGGAGGUCCGGAGGUUCGCCUAUGAUUUGGCAAAGACCUACAGCUGUCGGUGCCCCGAAACAUGGGUAGAGAAAGGGAUGGCUGGAGCCGACUGGUUCACGUCGUUUUUGAAGAGGCAAAAAAUUCCAAAAAAAAAAAAAUCCAAAAAAUUCCAUCCCGCCUUCACCAGCGAUGGACCUCCCGGCUGUAUUGGCACCGCAAAUGGGUCUGGGUGGAUGGAAGAGGAAGACUUUUUGGUUUUCCUCAAGCACUUCCAGACUCACACCAAGUCCUCUCUGGAGUCAAAAGUUCUUCUUAUUCUAGACAACCAUACCUCCCAUCUGUCUGUGGCGGGGAUACAUUUUUGCAGGAGCCAUGGCAUCGUCCUCCUCUCAUUUCCCCCACACUGUUCCCAUAAGCUGCAGCCCUUGGAUCGCAGUGUCUAUGGGCCACUCAAGAGGCUAGUGAACAACUGCUGUGACAGCUGGAUGAAAGCUCAUCCAGGAGUCACCAUGACCAUUUAUGAUUUGCCAGGAAUUGUGAAGAGUUCCCUUCCCCGUGCUGCAUCACCAGGAAAUAUUCAGGCAGGGUUUGCAUGCUCUGGAAUUUGGCCUUUUAAUAGGGAUAUCUUUAGUGAAAGUGACUUUGCACCAUCCUCAGUCACAGACCGCCCACCACCAGCAGUGACACCAGAGGUUCCAUCCUCCUCUUCAGCUCCAUCACCCAAUGUGGCAACGGUGGCAUCCUCCGUGCCACAUAGAGCAACAUUCCCUCUCACACCAUGUGUGGUGUCUGAGCCAUCAACCUCUGCUAUGGACACAACUUUUUCACCCGUGUCCAUCCGUCCACACCCAAAAGCUGGCCCAAGAAAGCAGACGACAAAGGGCAGGAAAAGAAGGGAAACCGCUGUCCUUACAGAUACUCCUGUGAAAGAACAACUGGAGGCUGAGAAAGGAAGGUCUACAGCUAAAAGGAAAAUGAAGUUCGACAACAAACAAAAGCCCAAACAGAAGAAGCAGAAAAAACAAGACUCAUCUGAAGAUGAAAAUGAAAAUGAAUGUUGCAUAGUGUGCUUCGAGAGCUACUCCAGGUCGAAGGAGGUCUGGCUCCAGUGCUGGUCCUGCAAAGCCUGGGCACACAAGGACUGCACAGAUGGAAGGGAUAAUUACACGUGCCACAACUGUGACUCUGACUAGGUUUUCCGAGCCCUCCUACCCCUCUCUCUCUUUUGUUGGGACUGUUUAAGUUAAUUGUUAAACUUUUUAGCUCUGUUCUACUUUUUAGUUCUGUUCUACCCAUUGAGGUAGUGAGUCUUGAUGUCAUGUUUGAGGAUGUGUGUUCUACUCAUUAAAUUAAGUUCUUGCAUUGUAAUUUGAUGGCUUCUUUUUUGUCAUGCAGUAUGAAAAAAGGUAAUGAUUACUUAAAAACAAGAAAUUAAGUCACAAUAAUAUGACUGAUCAAUAAUAUCUUUCAUUUUGAGUAUAUGAUUGAUUCAUUCUGAAUAUUUUAGACACUUUACAACUGUCCCUGGCA
rnacentral:lncRNA from 1 species